UUGUAUGUGGAGAUGAAGCAAUCUUUCGUGGAUUAGAGUUUCUGAUCUUGUAUUUGACGAAACAACCCUUGUCUGUCUGAGCGUACAC